CUUCACCCAGCAGGUGAGACAAUGCUAGUUCCCCCAUGGGGUCUUCUCUGUCCUUGUUAGGGGUGUGCUUGUUUGUGGGAUCCCCGAGGUGGGGAAGGAACAUGAGAGGGAAGGGAGUGGGGCCCUGAUACUCAGCCUGCAGCCUCCUUCUCUUCCAGAUGGACGUCUUCUACCGCAACAUUGAAGGCUACCAGGGCAUCGAGAUCCUGAGUCUGUCGUGAGUGUUGGGGUGCUGGCCUCUGGGAGAGGGUUUUGGGGUGCUCGGACUGCCAUUGGGGUGUUCCAGUGGGCAUUGGGGUGCUCCAACUGGCCUCAUGCUGGUCAAUGAUGAGGACACAUUGGGAUGCUCCAACUGGCAUUGGGGGUGCACCAACGGCCAUUGGGGUGUUCCCUCAGGAACGGCAGCAUCAUGGUGGAUCACGCCGUCAUCGUCGCUCUGCUGGUGACCGCCGAUACCACGGAGAAGAUCAAUAAUGUCACCAAGAAUGUGAAGGAGGAGAUUGUCCAAGCAGCGGCCCAUCAGGAAAACUGCACUGACAACAGCAGCUUCUGCUUCAACGCCUCUGAAGUGACGAUCACCCAACCCUCGUUUGAGUUCAAUGCAACGGGUGAGCCCGCGGAGUGGGUUGUUUGGAGUAAACCAUGGACGGGGGUCCAGAGGCAUCUCCCCCUGGCCAACCCCCGUUCCCUUCGCAGCGUAUUGCCGCCAGGUCGCACCCAAGGGCUUCGAGGACUUCUACUACCCCAACACCACCAAAAGUGGCCUCAGCUGUGUGUCCAACUGCUCGGCCAACACCGCCGGCACCAUCGACUGCAACGAGGGGCAGUGCCAGCUCACCCUGAGUGGCCCCCAGUGCUUGUAAGGACCAUGGGGACACCCCCAGGGACACCUCCAGCACCCUGACGGGUGCUCUUGGCCCUACCAAAGGACCAGGGGCUGGGGUGAGGGUCUCGGCACCGUGCUCAGCCUCUCAUCUCCUCCCCACAGCUGCCGUGAGACCAACCUCUACUGGUACCAGGGCAAUCAGUGCAAGAGCCGGGUCAGCAAGAUGACCGUGGGUCUGAGCGUGGCCGUGGCAGCCUUGUGCUUGGUCAUCCUCGUUCUCACCAUCUUCCUCUUCAGGGCCAAGAGGCCAAAGUCAUCUGAGAGGUGGGGGGAUCCUGC
rnacentral:lncRNA from 1 species